rnacentral:rRNA from 1 species
UACGUAGGGGGCAAGCGUUGUCCGGAUUUAUUGGGCGUAAAGAGCGUGUAGGCGGCCAAGCAGGUCAGCUGUGAAAACUCGAGGCUCAACCUCGAGACGUCGGUUGAAACCGCUUGGCUAGAGUCCGGAAGAGGAGAGUGGAAUUCCCGGUGUAGCGGUGAAAUGCGCAGAUAUCGGGAAGAACGACCCGGUGGCGAAGGCGGCUCUCUGGGACGGUACUGACGCUGAGACGCGAAAGCGUGGGGAGCGAACAGG